rnacentral:rRNA from 1 species
AAAUGAAUAGACGGGGGCUCACACCAGCGGUGGAGCAUGUGGCUUAAUUCGAGGCUACGCGAAGAACCUUAUCCUAGGUUUGACAUGUACGGAUUAGCCGGUGGAAACAUCGGUGACGCGGCUUGCCGUGGAACGUACACAGGUGCUGCAUGGCUGUCGUCAGCUCGUGUUGUGAGAUGUUCGGUUAAGUCCUUUAACGAGCGAAACCCUUAUCCUUAGUUACCAGCGGGUCAUGCCGGGAACUCUAAGGAGACUGCCGGUGUUAAGCCGGAGGAAGGUGGGGAUGACGUCAAGUCCUCAUGGCCUUUAUGCCUAGGGCUGCACACGUGCUACAAUGGGGUGUACAAAGGGACGCAAACUCGCAAGAGCAAGCAAAUCCCAAAAAGCACCCCCCAGUUCAGAUUGCAGGCUGCAACCCGCCUGCAUGAAGCCGGAAUCGCUAGUAAUCGCAGGUCAGCCAUACUGCGGUGAAUGUGUUCCUGAGCCUUGUACACACCGCCCGU